rnacentral:rRNA from 1 species
AUUGAACGCUGGCGGCAUGCUUUACACAUGCAAGUCGAACGGUAACAGGCCUUCGGGUGCUGACGAGUGGCGAACGGGUGAGUAAUGCAUCGGAACGUGCCCAAUCGUGGGGGAUAACGUAGCGAAAGUUACGCUAAUACCGCAUAAGCCCUGAGGGGGAAAGCAGGGGAUCGCAAGACCUUGCGCGAAUGGAGCGGCCGAUGUCAGAUUAGCUAGUUGGUGGGGUAAAGGCCUACCAAGGCGACGAUCUGUAGCGGGUCUGAGAGGAUGAUCCGCCACACUGGGACUGAGACACGGCCCAGACUCCUACGGGAGGCAGCAGUGGGGAAUUUUGGACAAUGGGCGCAAGCCUGAUCCAGCCAUGCCGCGUGCGGGACGAAGGCCUCGGUUGUAAACCGCGUUUCUAGCCGGAAGGAAAUACGCCAAGGCUAAU